AAUUUUGGACAAUGGGCGCAAGCCUGAUCCAGCCAUUCCGCGUGAGUGAAGAAGGCCUUCGGGUUGUAAAGCUCUUUCGCAAGGGAAGAAACGUUACGAGCGAAUAACUCGUGAUAAUGACGGUACCUUGAUAAGAAGCACCGGCUAACUACGUGCCAGCAGCCGCGGUAAUACGUAGGGUGCGAGCGUUGUCCGGAUUUAUUGGGCGUAAAGAGCUCGUAGGCGGUUCGAUAAGUCGGGUGUGAAACCUCCAGGCUCAACCUGGAGACGCCACCCGAUACUGUCGUGACUAGAGUCCAGUAGGGGAGCGUGGAAUUCCUGGUGUAGCGGUGAAAUGCGCAGAUAUCAGGAGGAACACCAGUGGCGAAGGCGGCGCUCUGGGCUGGAACUGACGCUGAGGAGCGAAAGCGUGGGGAGCGAAC
rnacentral:rRNA from 1 species